UACGUAGGGGGCAAGCGUUGUCCGGAUUUAUUGGGCGUAAAGAGCGUGUAGGCGGCCAUGUAGGUCCGUUGUGAAAACUCGAGGCUCAACCUCGAGACGCCGAUGGAAACCAUGUGGCUAGAGUCCGGAAGAGGAGAGUGGAAUUCCUGGUGUAGCGGUGAAAUGCGCAGAUAUCAGGAAGAACACCCGUGGCUAAGGCGGCUCUCCAGUACGGUACUGACGCUGAGACGCGAAAGCGUGGGGAGCAAACAGG
rnacentral:rRNA from 1 species